AUCUGGAAGCAGGACUAACAGGAUUCCCCUAGUAACUGCGAGUGAAGCGGGAAAAGCUCAAAUUUAAAAUCUGGCGGUUAUGCCGUCCGAGUUGUAAUUUAGAGAAGCGUCAUCCGUGCUGGACCGUGUACAAGUCUCCUGGAAUGGAGCGUCAUAGAGGGUGAGAAUCCCGUCUUUGACACGGACUACCAGGACUUUGUGAUGCGCUCUCAAAGAGUCGAGUUGUUUGGGAAUGCAGCUCAAAAUGGGUGGUAAAUUCCAUCUAAAGCUAAAUAUUGGGGAGAGACCGAUAGCGAACAAGUACCGUGAGGGAAAGAUGAAAAGAACUUUGGAAAGAGAGUUAAACAGUACGUGAAAUUGUUGAAAGGGAAACGCUUGAAGUCAGUCGCGCCGUUCAGAACUCAGCCUUGCUCUGCUUGGUGUACUUUCUGUUUGGUGGGUCAGCAUCAAUUUUGGUCAGUGGAUAAAGGCCUAGAGAAUGUGGCACCUUCGGGUGUGUUAUAGCUUUGGGUCGCAUACAUUGACUGGGAUUGAGGAACUCAGCACGCCGCAAGGCCGGGUACUUGUACCACGUACGUGCUUAGGAUGCUGGCAUAAUGGCUUUAAUCGACCCGUCUUGAAACACGGACCAAGGAGUCUAACAUGCCUGCGAGUGUUUGGGUGGAAAACCCGAGCGCGUAAUGAAAGUGAAAGUUGAGAUCCCUGUCGUGGGGAGCAUCGACGCCCGGAGCAGACCUUUUGUGACGCAUCCGCGGUAGAGCAUGUAUGUUGGGACCCGAAAGAUGGUGAACUAUGCCUGAAUAGGGCGAAGCCAGAGGAAACUCUGGUGGAGGCUCGUAGCGAUUCUGACGUGCAAAUCGAU
rnacentral:rRNA from 1 species